CCUACGGGAGUCAGCAGUGGGGAAUAUUGCACAAUGGGGGAAACCCUGAUGCAGCGACGCCGCGUGAGUGAAGAAGUAUUUCGGUACGUAAAGCUCUAUCAGCAGGGAAGAAAAAAAGUCCUUUUGACUUUGGCCGUUCCCUGACCAAGAAGCCCCGGCUAACUACGUGCCAGCAGCCGCGGUAAUACGUAGGGGGCAAGCGUUAUCCGGAUUUACGGGGUGUAAAGGGAGCGUAGACGGCAGCGCAAGUCUGGAGUGAAAUGCCGGGGCCCAACCCCGGAAAUGCUUUGGAAACUGUGAAGCUGGAGUGCAGGAGAGGUAAGCGGAAUUCCUAGUGUAGCGGUGAAAUGCGUAGAUAUUAGGAGGAACACCAGUGGCGAAGGCGGCUUACUGGACUGUAACUGACGUUGAGGCUCGAAAGCGUGGGGAGCAAACAGGAUUAGAUACCCUUGUAGUC
rnacentral:rRNA from 1 species